rnacentral:rRNA from 1 species
CCCUUCGGGGACGAGGAGACAGGUGGUGCACGGUUGUCGUCAGCUCGUGUCGUGAGAUGUUGGGUUAGGUCCCGCAACGAGCGCAACCCUUGUCCUUAGUUGCCAACGUAAAGUCGUGCACUCUAGGGAGACUGCCGGAGACAAUUCGGAGGAAGUGGGGAUGACGUCAAGUCCUCAUGGCCUUUAUGACCAGGGCUACACACGUACUACAAUGGCCGAUACAAAGGGCAGCGACACUGCGAGGUGAAGCCAAUCCCGUAAAAUCGGUCUCAGUCCGGAUUGGAGUCUGCAACUCGACUCCAUGAAGUUGGAAUCGCUAGUAAUCGUGGAUCAGCAUGCCACGGUGAAUACGUUCCCGGGCCUU